AUGAACGCUGGCGGCGUGCUUAACACAUGCAAGUCGAACGAAGCAUUUAGGACAGAUUACUUCGGUUUGAAGUUCUUUAUGACUGAGUGGCGGACGGGUGAGUAACGCGUGGGUAACCUGCCUUGUACUGGGGGAUAGCAGCUGGAAACGGCUGGUAAUACCGCAUAAGCGCACAAUGUUGCAUGACAUGGUGUGAAAAACUCCGGUGGUAUAAGAUGGACCCGCGUCUGAUUAGCUAGUUGGUGAGAUAACAGCCCACCAAGGCGACGAUCAGUAGCCGACCUGAGAGGGUGACCGGCCACAUUGGGACUGAGACACGGCCCAGACUCCUACGGGAGGCAGCAGUGGGGAAUAUUGCACAAUGGAGGAAACUCUGAUGCAGCGACGCCGCGUGAGUGAAGAAGUAAUUCGUUAUGUAAAGCUCUACCAGCAGGGAAGAUAGUGACGGUACCUGACUAAGAAGCUCCGGCUAAAUACGUG
rnacentral:rRNA from 1 species